rnacentral:lncRNA from 1 species
GUUCUAGAUCCAUUUGUUGCCAUUCUGGAUCCCGUUGGUGCUGUUCUAGGUCUGCUUGAUGCGGUUCUUGAUCCAUUUGAUGCUGUUCUGGAUCCUGUUGGUGCCGUUCUAGGUCUGCUUGAUGCAGUUCUCGAUCCUCUUGACAUCGCUGAUGCUGCUCUAGGUCCGGUCGAUGCAGUUCUAGAUCUGCUUGCUGCUGUUCUAGAUCCAUUUGGUGCCAUUCUGGAUGCUGUUGGUGCCGUUCUAGAUCUGCCUGAUGCCGUUCUCGGUCUGCUUGAUGCGGUUCUUGAUCCCGUUGACAUCGCCAACACCGUUCUUCAUCCAGUUGUUGUUGUUCUAGAUCCUGCUCUAGAUCUAGCCGACUCACUUCUGGAUCCCGUUGGCGCUGUUCUAGAUCUGCUCGAUGUGGUUCUCGAUCCCGUUGACACUGCUGACACCACUCCCCAUCCACUUGAUGCUGUUCUACGCCCACUUGAUGCCGUUCUAGAUCUGCCUGACGUGCUCCUGGAUCCUGCUGACGCCAUUCUAGAUCCAGUUGACGCGGCUCUUGAUGCUGUAGGCGCCGUUCCAGAUCUGCUCCACAUGGUUCUCCAUCCUGCUGCCAUUGCUGGCCCCGUUCUCGAUCCCGUUGAUGCUCUUCUCCAUCUGCUUGAUGUUCUCGACCCCCCUGACGCCGUUCUAGAUCCGACUGACGCUGUUCUCCAUCCCACUGGCACCACCCCCAAUGUUCUCCACCCUGCUGAUGUUCCCGAUCCCUUUGGGCCCCAUCCUGACCCCAUUCUCGAUCCCAUUGACACC